rnacentral:rRNA from 1 species
GACGAACGCUGGCGGCGUGCUUAACACAUGCAAGUCGAAUGGAAAUGCCCUGCCUUUGUGGGGUGCUCGAGUGGCGAACGGGUGAGUAACACGUGAGUAUCCCGCCCCGGACUGUGGGAUAACUUCAGGAAACUUGGGCUAAUACCAGAGAGUAGGCCCUGCUUCAUGGUGGGGGUGGGAAAGGUUCGGUGUUUGGGGAUGGACUCGCGGCUUAUCAGCUUGUUGGUGGGGUAGUGGCUGACCAAGGCUUUGAGGGGUAGCCGGUCUGAGAGGGUGACCGGCCACAUUGGGACUGAGAUACGGCCGAGACUCAUACGGGAGGCAGCAGUGGGGAAUAUUGCACAAUGGGCGGAAGACUGAUGCAGCAACGCAGCGUGCGGGAUGACGGAAUUCGGGUUGUAAACCGAUUUCGCCUGUGACGAAGCGUGAGUGACGGUAAUGUAUAAAGAAGCGCCGGCUAACUCCGUG